GAUGAACGCUAGCGGCAGGCUUAAUACAUGCAAGUCGUGGGGCAGCAUGAGUAGCAAUACUUGAUGGCGACCGGCAAACGGGUGAGGAACACGUACACAACCUUCCUUCAAGCGGGGAAUAGCCCAGAGAAAUUUGGAUUAAUACCCCAUAAUAUAUUUGAUAAGGCAUCUUAUAAUAUUAAAGCUUCGGCACUUGAUGAUGGGUGUGCGGCUGAUUAGACAGUUGGCGGGUAACGGCCCACCAAGUCUACGAUCAGUAGCUGAUGUGAGAGCAUGAUCAGCCACACGGGCAACUGAGACACGGGCCCGACUCCUACGGGAGGCAGCAGUAAGGAAUAUUGGACAAUGGACGAAAGUCUGAUCCAGCCAUGCCGCGUGAAGGAUUAAAGGUCCUCUGGAUUGUAAACUCUUUAUAUGGGAC
rnacentral:rRNA from 1 species